UACAGAGGUCCCAAGCGUUGUUCGGAUUUACUGGGCGUAAAGGGUGCGUAGGUGGCAGGCUAAGUUUGGUGUGAAAUCUUCGAGCCCAACUCGAAAACGGCACUGAAAACUGGCCUGCUCGAGGAUUGAAGAGGAGAUUGGAAUUCUCGGUGUAGCAGUGAAAUGCGUAGAUAUCGAGAGGAACACCAGUUGCGAAGGCGAAUCUCUGGGCAACUCCUGACACUGAGGCACGAAAGCUAGGGGAGCAAACAGG
rnacentral:rRNA from 1 species